rnacentral:rRNA from 1 species
AUGUCACUGAUCAUGGGAGAGAAAGUGCAUUGGCCGUCUCAUAAACACAUCAAUGUUGACACAAAGGAUUUGAUAAGGCAGCUGAGGGAAAACAAUGUGAACCUGGGGAAGGUGUACAACAUAAUUGGUAGCUUCUUUGGGUCUGUUGAGAUGGUGCCGUUCACAAAAAGAACUCUCAGGAAUAUAUGUGGGAAGAUUAGCCCUGAACAAGCUGAGGAUGAUGUGCAGAAGACGCUUGAGGUGUUUGCUGACAUCCGUUCCAGCGACCCUGGUUUCACCUAUGUGCUACUAGGCGGCAAGUCGAGCAAGGUGAAAAAUCGUAUGUGGGCUAACAGAAGCAGCUGA